GAUGAAGAACGUAGCGAAAUGCGAUAAGUAAUGUGAAUUGUAGAAUUCAGUGAAUCAUCGAAUCUUUGAACGCACCUUGCGCUCCUUGGUAUUCCGAGGAGCAUGCCUGUUUGAGUGUCAUGAAAUUCUCAACCCCCCCGUCUCUUUCGAGAGGCGCGGGGGCUUGGACUUUGGGGGUCUUGCUGGCUGAAAAGUCGGCUCCCCUUGAAUGCAUUAGCUGGACUGUCCGAUGUAUUUCGGAGCGGUAUGCGGUGUGAUAACUAUCUACGCCAUUGUAAAUCCGUCCUGUCAAGCUUCCAACCCGCGUCUCUCCCCUCUGCGGGAUUGCGCACUUUUAUCAAUCUGACCUCAAAUCAGGUAGGACUACCCGCUGAACUUAAGCAUAUCAAUAAGCGGAGGA
rnacentral:misc_RNA from 1 species